rnacentral:rRNA from 1 species
GACAUAGGUGGCGAACGUUAUCCGGAAUUAUUGGGCGUAAAGGGUGCGUAGGCGGCCUGACAAGUCUGAUGUGAAAUCCCUGGGCUCAACCCAGGGCCUGCAUCGGAAACUGUCGGGCUUGAGUAUGGGAGAGGUGAGUGGAAUUUCCGGUGUAGCGGUGAAAUGCGUAGAUAUCGGAAGGAACACCUGUGGCGAAAGCGGCUCACUGGACCAUUACUGACGCUGAGGCACGAAAGCUAGGGGAGCAAACAGG